rnacentral:rRNA from 1 species
GAUCAUGGCUCAGGAUGAACGCUGGCGGCAUGCCUAACACAUGCAAGUCGAUCGGUAAGGCUCUUCGGAGUACACGAGAGGCGGACGGCUGAGUAACGCGUAGGAACACACCCUGCAGUGAGGGAUAAGACACCGAAAGGUGUUCUAAUACCGCAUACGGUCUUCGGAUUAAAGCAUUUAUGCGCUGAAGGAGUGGCCUGCGUCAUAUUAGAUAGUUGGUGAGGUAAUGG